UACGGGGGGGGCAAGCGUUGUUCGGAAUUACUGGGCGUAAAGGGCUCGUAGGCGGCCAACUAAGUCAGACGUGAAAUCCCUCGGCUUAACCGGGGAACUGCAUCUGAUACUGGAUGGCUUGAGUUCGGGAGAGGGAUGCGGAAUUCCAGGUGUAGCGGUGAAAUGCGUAGAUAUCGAGAGGAACACCAGUGGCGAAGGCGAGUCCCUGGACAACUCCUGACACUGAGGCACGAAAGCUAGGGGAGCAAACAGG
rnacentral:rRNA from 1 species